CCGGCUCACGUUGAACGCUAGCUACAGGCUUAACACAUGCAAGUCGAGGGGCAGCAUGGUCUUAGCUUGCUAAGGCCGAUGGCGACCGGCGCACGGGUGAGUAACGCGUAUCCAACCUGCCUUACACUCUUGGACAGCCUUCUGAAAGGGAGAUUAAUACAAGAUGUUAUCAUGAGUAAGCAUUUUCGCAUGAUUAAAGGUUUACCGGUGUAAGAUGGGGAUGCGUUCCAUUAGAUAGUAGGCGGGGUAACGGCCCACCUAGUCUUCGAUGGAUAGGGGUUCUGAGAGGAAGGUCCCCCACAUUGGAACUGAGACACGGUCCAAACUCCUACGGGAGGCAGCAGUGAGGAAUAUUGGUCAAUGGACGAGAGUCUGAACCAGCCAAGUAGCGUGAAGGAUGAAGGUUCUAUGGAUUGUAAACUUCUUUUAUACGGGAAUAAACGAAUCCACGUGUGGAUUUUUGCAUGUACCGUAUGAAUAAGGAUCGGCUAACUCCGUGCCAGCAGCCGCGGUAAUACGGAGGAUCCGAGCGUUAUCCGGAUUUAUUGGGUUUAAAGGGAGCGUAGAUGGGUUGUUAAGUCAGUUGUGAAAGUUUGCGGCUCAACCGUAAAAUUGCAAUUGAUACUGGCAGUCUUGAGUACAGUUGAGGUAGGCGGAAUUCGUGGUGUAGCGGUGAAAUGCUUAGAUAUCACGAAGAACUCCGAUUGCGAAGGCAGCUUACUAACCUGUAACUGACAUUGAUGCUCGAAAGUGUGGGUAUCAAACAGGAUUAGAUACCCUGGUAGUCCACACGGUAAACGAUGAAUACUCGCUGUAGGCGAUAUACAGUCUGCGGCCAAGCGAAAGCAUUAAGUAUUCCACCUGGGGAGUACGCCGGCAACGGUGAAACUCAAAGGAAUUGACGGGGGCCCGCACAAGCGGAGGAACAUGUGGUUUAAUUCGAUGAUACGCGAGGAACCUUACCCGGGCUUAAAUUGCAACCGAAUAUGGCGGAAACGCUAUAGCUAGCAAUAGCGGUUGUGAAGGUGCUGCAUGGUUGUCGUCAGCUCGUGCCGUGAGGUGUCGGCUUAAGUGCCAUAACGAGCGCAACCCUUGCCGAUAGUUACUAACAGGUUAUGCUGAGGACUCUGUCGGGACUGCCAUCGUAAGAUGUGAGGAAGGUGGGGAUGACGUCAAAUCAGCACGGCCCUUACGUCCGGGGCUACACACGUGUUACAAUGGGGGGUACAGAGGGCUGCUACCACGCAAGUGGAUGCCAAUCCCAAAAACCUCUCUCAGUUCGGAUUGAAGUCUGCAACCCGACUUCAUGAAGCUGGAUUCGCUAGUAAUCGCGCAUCAGCCACGGCGCGGUGAAUACGUUCCCGGGCCUUGUACACACCGCC
rnacentral:rRNA from 1 species